rnacentral:rRNA from 1 species
UACGUAGGGGGCGAGCGUUGUCCGGAUUUACUGGGCGUAAAGAGCGCGCAGGCGGUCGAUCAAGUCGAGUGUGAAAGCCCCCGGCUCAACUGGGGAGGGUCAUUCGAUACUGAUCGACUCGAAGGCAGGAGAGGGUAGUGGAAUUCCCGGUGUAGUGGUGAAAUGCGUAGAUAUCAGGAGGAACACCAGUGGCGAAGGCGGCUUCCUGGACACCAACUGACGCUGAGACGCGAAAGCGUGGGGAGCAAACAGG